rnacentral:lncRNA from 1 species
UGAUAAUCCUUUAUUUUCCUUUAUGUGUGUUUUAGCAAUCUAGAGCCAACAUUUCUUUCAUUUUGUCCUAGAGUAAUCCCUAAUGGAUUGGUACUACUGCACAUAAAAGUGAUGAAAGGUAGUUAAAACCAAGCUGAAACUGCCUUUCAAGAAUAAGUUUUAGUGGAAGAAUCAAAAUUGAGCCUGCCAAUGUAGGAAAAUCCAAUUGUGUUAUGAAAUACUUCUACUUCAUGGGAACAGUGCGCUAGGAUACGUCAUCUACAGAACAUGGAAGUGCAAGCAAGGAGCAGCAUACUUGGAUUUGAUUCUGCAUCAGUCUGUUCUCACUGAAAUUGCUUUUUCCUUCACCGCACUUGUUGUCGGAGGUCCUGCAAAACUCUGCGAGCUGAAAAGUUGUGGUCACUCAGGGUUGCUCAUCCUAUUUGCUGAACAACACGUCAACAACAGAGCUGGGAGCAGAGGAGCUGUGUGUUCCUCAGGCAAAUAG